GGCCCAUAGCUCAAUGGUAGAGCGGCGCCCUUACAAGGCGAAGGUUUACGGUUCAAGUCCGUAUGGGCC
rnacentral:tRNA from 1 species